rnacentral:rRNA from 1 species
CCUACGGGUGACAGCAGUGAGGAAUAUUGGUCAAUGGGCGGAAGCCUGAACCAGCCAAGCCGCGUGAGGGAGGAAGGUACAGAGUAUCGUAAACCUCUUUUGUCAGGGAACAAAGGCGGGGACGUGUCCCCGGAUGAGUGUACCUGAAGAAAAAGCAUCGGCUAACUCCGUGCCAGCAGCCGCGGUAAUACGGGGGAUGCGAGCGUUAUCCGGAUUUAUUGGGUUUAAGGGGUGCGCAGGCGGUCUGUUAAGUCAGCGGUCAAAGCCCGGGGCUCAACCCCGGCCCGCCGUUGAAACUGGCAGUCUCGAGUUGGAGAGAGGUAUGCGGAAUGCGCGGUGUAGCGGUGAAAUGCAUAGAUAUCGCGCAGAACUCCGAUUGCGAAGGCAGCAUGCCGGCUCCACACUGACGCUGAGGCACGAAAGCGUGGGUAUCGAACAGGAUUAGAUACCCGAGUAGUC